rnacentral:rRNA from 1 species
UGGGAGGUAAAUUUCUCCUAAGGCUAAAUACCGGCGAGAGACCGAUAGCGAACAAGUACCGUGAGGGAAAGAUGAAAAGAACUUUGAAAAGAGAGUUAAAUAGUACGUGAAAUUGUUGAAAGGGAAACGAUUGAAGUCAGUCGUACCGGCGGGAAAUCAGCUUCUCGAGUGGGGGUUCGCGGGUGCGUGAGAGCUUCGGCCUUCGUCGCUUGGGAUACCUUUUGCUUCUGGAGCGUACUUUUCCGUGUGGUAGGUCAACAUCGGUUUCGAUUGCCAUAAAAUGACCGGAGGAAUGUGGCUUCGAUCUUGUAUUGGAGUGUUAUAGCCUCUGGUAGAUGUGGUGGUUGGGAUCGAGGAUUGCAACGAAUACCCUUUGGGCUAUCCGCCUGACCUCUGAAAGUCGCUUGGGUACCGAAAGCUUGCUUACGGUCAUUCAAGUUGGCGGUCAAAAGGUUAGAACGUGAUUAAAUUCGUUAAGGAUGUUGACGUAAUGGCUUUAAACGACCCGUCUUGAAACACGGACCAAGGAGUCUAACAUAUAUGCGAGUGUUCGGGUGGUCAAACCCUUACGCGUAAUGAAAGUAAUUUAGGUGGGAUCGCUUUUUUGGCGAGCACCAUUGACC